ACAAUGGGCGAAAGCUGAUCCAGCAAUGCCGCGUGCAGGAUGAAGGCCUUCGGGUUGUAAACUGCUUUUGUACGGAACGAAAAAGCUUCUCCUAAUACGAGAGGCCCAUGACGGUACCGUAAGAAUAAGCACCGGGCUAACUACGUGCCAGCAGCCGCGGUAAUACGUAGGGUGCGAGCGUUA
rnacentral:rRNA from 1 species